rnacentral:rRNA from 1 species
UACGUAGGGGGCAAGCGUUGUCCGGAUUUAUUGGGCGUAAAGAGCGUGUAGGCGGCUAUACAGGUCCGUUGUGAAAACUCGAGCUCACCUCGAGACGCCGAUGGAAACCGUAUGGCUAGAGUCCGGAAGAGGAGAGCGGAAUUCCUGGAUGUGAGCGGUGGAAAUGCGCAGAUAUCAGGAAGAACACCCGUGGCGAAGGCGGCUCUCUGGGACGGUACUGACGCUGAGACGCGAAAGCGUGGGGAGCGAACAGG